UUCUGUCUUCAGCUUUGGUAGUUGACACGUUUAGGUUAAUAUAGAAACAAAUUUAGUUUGCCUUCCGUCUUUGGAAUUUCACUCAAUUCUAACCGGAGUCCGUCGAUUCAACAUUUUCGUCACAUUUUACUUUUUUAUUUUCAUAAAGACAAAAAAGCGGCUUCGUAAAGAGAUACGCGAAGUCUAUGGCGUCGAUCGCUUAACGGAACGCGCGUGUCAGAAUUGGUUCAAAAAAUUUCGUUCCGAAGAUUUCUCACUCAAAGAUGACAGACGUUCGAGGAAGACGUGUUCGGACCUUCCGAAGUUGACGAUGACAAAAUGAAGCCAUAAUCGAAUCUAAGUCGUCACAUAACGAGAGAUUGCAAAAAGGUUAAAUGCAUCGCACACAACAAUUGAAUAUCACAUAAGAUAUCUUGGACUUGUUGAGGUUAUUUUUUCAAGAUCGGUUUCGCCGCGUCUCGCAACAACAAGUCGCGAGAAGUUUCGAGGUGCCGCGUGACAUUUUAUGAAAUCGGUUGAUAACAAGACCGUACUAAUGUAAGAAAAAGAAAAAAAUAUAUACGAUUCCGCCAACGUUUCGUCCUCACCUCGCGCGAUAAGCGAACUAUUCUAAUUAUAGCUGUGGCAAUAUGUGCCGAGGAUGUAACUAUAUCCGUUCAGCAGAGAAGAAAAAUAUUUAUUUACUGAAACGAAGCGAACCACGGUGGAACUGAAGCGACCGAACGAACUCUCCGGCGGCGGCUCUGAAUUUCUGCUUCAGAGGGAAUAUACGUACAGAGAAGCAGAAAAUGUUCCCGAAGUAAUAUAAUGAUCUGCGAGUUCCGAAGAAGCAGUAUAUUUAUAAGGAAGAAAUGACAGGGGAUACACGGCUGGCCUCUCUUUCCGGGCUCCUCGUUUUUCUUCAGCGUUUUCAGAAAAUAUAACCGGCGCGAUUCGAAUCACGCCAAGAAUCUCGCGGCGAACGAUGAUAGAGAGGGGGGCGGCGGGGGGAGCGCGAGGGGGAUAAUUGCGCGUCGAAGGUGACUUAUAGCUUCUAAACCCUUGUUUCUCGCCCGAUCCCGGUCGGAGGAGGUCUCGAUGAAAUCUGUUUGGCCGCGAAACUGAUUUACGAGAUGAAACGUAAAGCGCGGAACCCGAUGGGCCUGGCGCGAUUAGGCUAUACGGUGGAGCUCCAUUCAUAUGAACUCGGCGGAAGACAACUGGUUAAGUUAUUUCAAAUGACCUCAGCUAC